AACGCUAGCUACAGGCUUAACACAUGCAAGUCGAGGGGAAACGACAUUGAAAGCUUGCUUUUGAUGGGCGUCGACCGGCGCACGGGUGAGUAACGCGUAUCCAACCUGCCCAUCACUUGGGGAUAACCUUGCGAAAGUAAGACUAAUACCCAAUGAUAUCUCUAGAAGACAUCUGAAAGGGAUUAAAGAUUUAUCGGUGAUGGAUGGGGAUGCGUCUGAUUAGCUUGUUGGCGGGGUAACGGCCCACCAAGGCGACGAUCAGUAGGGGUUCUGAGAGGAAGGUCCCCCACAUUGGAACUGAGACACGGUCCAAACUCCUACGGGAGGCAGCAGUGAGGAAUAUUGGUCAAUGGGCGAGAGCCUGAACCAGCCAAGUAGCGUGCAGGAAGACGGCCCUAUGGGUUGUAACCUGCUUUUAUAAGGGAAUAAAGUGAGCCUCGUGAGGCUUUUUGCAUGUACCUUAUGAAUAAGGACCGGCUAAUUCCGUGCCAGCAGCCGCGGUAAUACGGAAGGUCCGGGCGUUAUCCGGAUUUAUUGGGUUUAAAGGGAGCGUAGGCCGGAGAUUAAGCGUGUUGUGAAAUGUAGAUGCUCAACAUCUGCACUGCAGCGCGAACUGGUUUCCUUGAGUACGCACAAAGUGGGCGGAAUUCGUGGUGUAGCGGUGAAAUGCUUAGAUAUCACGAAGAACUCCGAUUG
rnacentral:rRNA from 1 species